GACGAACGCUGGCGGCGCGCCUAACACAUGCAAGUCGAACGAGCGAGGGAGAGCUUGCUUUCUUGAGCGAGUGGCGAACGGGUGAGUAACGCGUGAGGAACCUUCCUCAAAGAGGGGGACAACAGUUGGAAAAGACUGCUAAUACCGCAUAAGCCCACGGUGCCGCAUGGGACCGAGGGAAAAGGAGCAAUCCGCUUUGAGGUGGCCUCGCGUCCGAUUAGCUGGUUGGUGGGGUAACGGCCCACCAAGGCGACGAACGGUAGCCGGACUGAGAGGUUGAACGGCCACAUUGGGACUGAGACACGGCCCAGACUCCUGCGGGAAGCAGCAGUGGGGAAUAUUGCACAAUGGGGGAAACCCUGAUGCAGCGACGCCGCGUGGAGGAAGAAGGUCUUCGGAUUGUAAACUCCUGUUGUUGGGGAAGAUAAUGACGGUACCCAACAAGGAAGUGACGGCUAACUACGUG
rnacentral:rRNA from 1 species